GUCUCGGGUGGGGUGCGGCUUCCUGCGUCUGAGAGACGCUUCCUCUCCUGCUGUCCUCUCCCUGCCAGGCCCCUUCUGCAGCGGCUGGCUUCCAGACACCCUGCGUCCCUCCCUUGCUCGCAGCAGUUGCUGUGGCGGUCCUCCCGUGCACCCCCCCUUCUGCCCUCACUGCCCCUGGGGGUCCUCAUCACGGACCCCCUAACUCGGCAUCCUGGACACCACCACCCCGCACCUUUCCACAGUGCAGCUCUGCUCGUGCCUGUGAAGCCUCCCACAGCCUGGGAAGGAAAAUCCAGACUUGCCAGACCUUGCCUCAGCCAGGCCUUGGAAGCCUGCCAGCUUACCUAACCAGGCUAGUCUGCCCCCCUCACUCUGGGUGCUCUCCAUGGGCCACUCACCAUUUCCUGAGCAGGACCAGAGCUCUCCUGCCCCAAGGCUGGGCUUCAGCUGCUCUUUCAGCUUUGAACGUCCUUUCCCAUUCUCCAUCAUCCACAUUCACCUAUCCUGCCUGCCCCAGUUAAAAUCCUGUUUCUUCUAGGAAGUCCCUCAUCCCACCCGCUUACCCCAGGGAGACUGAGCUUGUUCCUUCUCCUAGUAAGACCCUCAGCCCAUGGAGUCCUGUGUGAUGUUGUGAGCGUGGGAGGACAGACUGAACUGCUCGGCCCGUGGAGUCCUGUGUGAUGUUGUGAGCGGGGAGGACAGACUGAACUGCGUGGUGCUUCGCACAUAGACCUCAACAGGGAUUGGCAUUUUGAAGCUGUUGGCGGGGGCUGUGGACUGCUUUUCUUCCUUUCUAGCUCAACGGCAGCUAAAGCCACUGCAUACAAUGCAAGGACUGGCUCCUGUUUGGCCACGACUGAUUGCAGCCCCUGGUGAAAUGAGAACCCUGUGGGUCGGAACAAAGUUUGGAUUAUUUAUGUUGCAAGUAACUAAAAUCUCAAGUGAAACUGGUUUAAACA
rnacentral:lncRNA from 10 species